AACGAACGCUGGCGGCAGGCUUAACACAUGCAAGUCGAACGCCCCGCAAGGGGAGUGGCAGACGGGUGAGUAACGCGUGGGAACAUACCCUUUUCUACGGAAUAGCUCUGGGAAACUGGAAUUAAUACCGUAUACGCCCUACGGGGGAAAGAUUUAUCGGGGAAGGAUUGGCCCGCGUUGGAUUAGCUAGUUGGUGGGGUAAAGGCCUACCAAGGCGACGAUCCAUAGCUGGUCUGAGAGGAUGAUCAGCCACAUUGGGACUGAGACACGACCCAAACUCCUACGGGAGGCAGCAGUGGGGAAUAUUGGACAAUGGGCGCAAGCCUGAUCCAGCCAUGCCGCGUGAGUGAUGAAGGCCUUAGGGUUGUAAAGCUCUUUCACCGAUGAAGAUAAUGACGGUAGUCGGAGAAGAAGCCCCGGCUAACUUCGUGCCAGCAGCCGCAGUAACAC
rnacentral:rRNA from 1 species